rnacentral:rRNA from 1 species
UAGCUGGUUAUUCAGGAAAAGGAUAUUAGUCCAACUUUAAAUCUUCACAUACUGCCAAAUAUAUCAACAGAUUUAAAAUCCAUUCAAAUAAGGUUCAGCCUAUUUGAAGCAGGGUACAACCUACACCAUUGGGUAAUGUCUCAACUAACAUGAUCAAGUCGGCCUAAGAGCAGCCACCUUUAAAAAAGCGUCAUAGCUUUAUCAUACCUGUCACCAAUACCUCACAAAACUCAAAACCCCUCACUCAUACUGAAUGACUUCAUACAUAUAUGAAAAACCUUAUGUUAGAACUAGUAACAAGAAUAAUUAUUCUCCUAAACGUAAGUGUAAGCCGGACUGAACCACUCACCGGCAUUUACCGCCAAUGAACUAAAAGUAACAACCAACACAAGAAAACCCUACUUUUAAAAGCGUUAACCUUACACUAGAAUUUUUCUGGAAAGAUUAAAAAGAGAGGAAGGAACUCGGCAAAUAUUAACCCCGCCUGUUUAC